GUGUUACUGCGAAGGGGGGACGGAGAAGGCUAUGUUGGCCGGGCGACGGUUGUCCCGGUUUAAGCGUGUAGGUGUGUGUUCCAGGUAAAUCCGGUUCACUUUAAUACUGAGGCGUGACGACGAGGCACUACGGUGCUGAAGCAACAAAUGCCCUGCUUCCAGGAAAAGCCUCUAAGCAUCAGGUAACAUCAAAUCGUACCCCAAACCGACACAGGUGGUCAGGUAGAGAAUACCAAGGCGCUUGAGAGAACUCGGGUGAAGGAACUAGGCAAAAUGGUGCCGUAACUUCGGGAGAAGGCACGCUGACACGUAGGUGAAGUGAUUUACUCAUGGAGCUGAAGUCAGUCGAAGAUACCAGCUGGCUGCAACUGUUUAUUAAAAACACAGCACUGUGCAAACACGAAAGUGGACGUAUACGGUGUGACGCCUGCCCGGUGCCGGAAGGUUAAUUGAUGGGGUCAGCGCAAGCGAAGCUCCUGAUCGAAGCCCCGGUAAACGGCGGCCGUAACUAUAACGGUCCUAAGGUAGCGAAAUUCCUUGUCGGGUAAGUUCCGACCUGCACGAAUGGCGUAAUGAUGGCCAGGCUGUCUCCACCCGAGACUCAGUGAAAUUGAACUCGCUGUGAAGAUGCAGUGUACCCGCGGCAAGACGGAAAGACCCCGUGAACCUUUACUAUAGCUUGACACUGAACAUUGAGCCUUGAUGUGUAGGAUAGGUGGGAGGCUUUGAAGUGUGGACGCCAGUCUGCAUGGAGCCGACCUUGAAAUACCACCCUUUAAUGUUUGAUGUUCUAACGUGGACCCGUUACCCGGGUUGCGGACAGUGUCUGGUGGGUAGUUUGACUGGGGCGGUCUCCUCCUAAAGAGUAACGGAGGAGCACGAAGGUUGGCUAAUCCUGGUCGGACAUCAGGAGGUUAGUGCAAUGGCAUAAGCCAGCUUGACUGCGAGCGUGACGGCGCGAGCAGGUGCGAAAGCAGGUCAUAGUGAUCCGGUGGUUCUGAAUGGAAGGGCCAUCGCUCAACGGAUAAAAGGUACUCCGGGGAUAACAGGCUGAUACCGCCCAAGAGUUCAUAUCGACGGCGGUGUUUGGCACCUCGAUGUCGGCUCAUCACAUCCUGGGGCUGAAGUAGGUCCCAAGGGUAUGGCUGUUCGCCAUUUAAAGUGGUACGCGAGCUGGGUUUAGAACGUCGUGAGACAGUUCGGUCCCUAUCUGCCGUGGGCGCUGGAGAACUGAGGGGGGCUGCUCCUAGUACGAGAGGACCGGAGUGGACGCAUCACUGGUGUUCGGGUUGUCAUGCCAAUGGCACUGCCCGGUAGCUAAAUGCGGAAGAGAUAAGUGCUGAAAGCAUCUAAGCACGAAACUUGCCCCGAGAUGAGUUCUCCCUGAGACUUAGAGUCUCCUGAAGGAACGUUGAAGACGACGACGUUGAUAGGCCGGGUGUGUAAGCGCAGCGAUGCGUUGAGCUAACCGGUACUAAUGAACCGUGAGGCUUAACC
rnacentral:rRNA from 1 species